rnacentral:rRNA from 2 species
UAGAGUUUGAUCCUGGCUCAGGACGAACGCUGGCGGCGUGCCUAAUACAUGCAAGUCGAACGAACUCUGGUAUUGAUUGGUGCUUGCAUCAUGAUUUACAUUUGAGUGAGUGGCGAACUGGUGAGUAACACGUGGGAAACCUGCCCAGAAGCGGGGGAUAACACCUGGAAACAGAUGCUAAUACCGCAUAACAACUUGGACCGCAUGGUCCGAGUUUGAAAGAUGGCUUCGGCUAUCACUUUUGGAUGGUCCCGCGGCGUAUUAGCUAGAUGGUGGGGUAACGGCUCACCAUGGCAAUGAUACGUAGCCGACCUGAGAGGGUAAUCGGCCACAUUGGGACUGAGACACGGCCCAAACUCCUACGGGAGGCAGCAGUAGGGAAUCUUCCACAAUGGACGAAAGUCUGAUGGAGCAACGCCGCGUGAGUGAAGAAGGGUUUCGGCUCGUAAAACUCUGUUGUUAAAGAAGAACAUAUCUGAGAGUAACUGUUCAGGUAUUGACGGUAUUUAACCGAAAG